CAGAGGUCAGUGCCACAGCAGCACUGCGCUAAGUUCAGUCACCAAAGCAUGCUUCACUUUGACGUCAACCCAGCACCCAACAGCAAGGAUGAAUUCCCCCUCUUUCCCAGAACUUGCUUGUUUAAGGACACCUUGUUAAUUAGCAGGUUUUUUUAUUUGGUUUCUGUAGCACUGAGGCACUCCUGGCUGUCCACCUUCCCCAUGGACUCCAAGCAGAGUCCCUUAUUCUCUGCUUCUUGGUAGGAGCCAAUGGAAUCCUGGAGAUACUGCAACUGCCAGAGGAAUGGAGAGAAAUGCACCCAGAGGCUUGCAGAAGCCUCUUUGGACAGUGGUGGGCAGGUCUUCUCAAAGGCCUCUCCCAUCGUUUACUCUGCUGCAGCCGUAACUUCUCCCGGACUCAGCAAAGUUUUUUCACUUUUCGGAGCACAGGCUUUCCUAGGCAGCUUCAGCUCCAUGCCUGAAGGAACUGCAGGCAGUGAUUCAUCAGAGAGACAACACAUCCCAAACAACCAGAAGGUCAACUACUUCUUAAGGCAAAAAUAUUUUGCAGUGAUUUAUAGCUGUAUGUGGGAAAAUAGAGGUCUUAUAUGGCUAAAGCAGGCAAACAAUAGAUGGGGAAGAAUUUCUUCUCAUCAACACUCGUCUUCCUUCUCACGGAAACAUCACACACUUUGCAUUCUGUAACAAAAUGUAAGUUUUAUUCUGUUUUAUUAGUAAUGGACGUGGAAUAGCCGGUUGAAGAGUCGGGCUAAUGUUUCAUUCUCUUUUGACCAAUGCUUAACCUAACUACAGUCCAGAUGGAACAUUUACACUGAGAAAUACUUAGAGAGAUUCAACCUCAUACUCAAAAAUUUUCUAGUACAAAUACAGUUAGUACAUAAAAAAUGAACAAAAAAAAAAUAUCCCAGAAACUUCAUAACAGCACAGACUGGUUAUGGCCUUGAGUUAAGUUCAAGUAUUUUCCAGUGGAAUGCAAUGCAAGCAACAAGGUAAUCUGGCUUUUACGUGGGACAUUCCUGGCCCUGAAUGGUAAGAACAGAAACGCAAGGGCGGGCACUUUAUCCAGCAAAGCUUAGUGAGGGAAUCAACAUUUAUGAUUAGUUCAGCUACAGAGCUAAACCCGUCUGGAGCGUGAACUGAAUGACUAACCUGCAGAAAAGAAAGCAAAGCAUUAGUUGUAAUACUGGCAUUUCUUCCAUGGCCGAUGCUGCCCGUCGUCUGCUUGAAAUUCCUCAAGCCUCCGGUUUGGUUUGUGGCGGGGCUUUUGCUUGUGGUUACACAUAUUUUGCCUUCCUAUCCUUUUCCUGCCCUAACAGACACAGUAAAGACGGGAUUUCCCUUCCUGCUCUGGAAGGGGUCACUGCUGCGGAGACGUCGGUGCCUUGGUGGUGGAGGUGACUCAGUGGAGCACACAACAUCCUAAGAGCUCCGGAGGGCAAGCAGUGGAGGAAAGGGGGAAGUGAGCAAUUUGGUAUAUCUAAUUAUAAUAAUAAGCCUCCAUAUUUAUAGGGCUAUCUGACUCAUGCUGGUGGCUGGAGGAACAGGGGCGGCUCCUUCUUGGUAUAGAGGAGCGUAUGGGAGCUUGGCAGCCCACCACAAGAUCCUGGCAUUAAGCAGUCCUGCCAGCAGUGUGCCCUUUUGCUUCAAUCCCUGUCAAAAAGCUUGGAAAAAGAAGAAAGAAAAAAAAAAGGGAAAG